UACGUAGGGGGCAAGCGUUGUCCGGAUUUAUUGGGCGUAAAGAGCGUGUAGGCGGCCAGGUAGGUCUGCUGUGAAAACUCGAGGCUUAACCUCGAGCUGUCGGUGGAAACUAUCUGGCUAGAGUCCGGAAGAGGAGAGUGGAAUUCCUGGUGUAGCGGUGAAAUGCGCAGAUAUCAGGAAGAACACCCGUGGCGAAAGCGGCUCUCUGGGACGGUACUGACGCUGAGACGCGAAAGCGUGGGGAGCGAACAGG
rnacentral:rRNA from 1 species